rnacentral:rRNA from 1 species
AGAGUUUGAUCAUGGCUCAGGAUGAACGCUAGCGGCAGGCCUAAUACAUGCAAGUCGAACGGUAAGUGUUUUAGCAAUAAGACACCAAGAGUGACGUACGGGUGCGUAACACGUAUGCAACCUACCCUUUACAGGGGUAUAGCUCGGGGAAACUCGAAUUAACCCCCCAUAAAAUAAUUUAGUGGCAUCAUUGAAUUAUUAAAUCUGAGGAGGUAAAGGAUGGGCAUGCGUCUGAUUAGUUAGUUGGUAGUGUAACGGACUACCAAGACGAUGAUCAGUAGGGGAACUGAGAGGUUGAUCCCCCACACUGGCACUGAGAUACGGGCCAGACUCCUACGGGAGGCAGCAGUAGGGAAUAUUGGUCAAUGGGUGAGAGCCUGAACCAGCCAUGCCGCGUGCAGGAAGAAGGCCUUCUGGGUUGUAAACUGCUUUUGCCAGGGGAUAAAAUUUCCAUGCGUGGAAAAUUGAAGGUACCUGGUGAAUAAGCCACGGCUAACUACGUGCCAGCAGCCGCGGUAAUACGUAGGUGGCAAGCGUUGUCCGGAUUUAUUGGGUUUAAAGGGUGCGUAGGCGGCCCUGUAAGUCAGUGCUGAAAUAUCCCGGCUUAACCGGGAGGGUGGCAUUGAUACUGCGGGGCUAGAGUACAGAUGAGGUAGGCGGAAUUGACGGUGUAGCGGUGAAAUGCUUAGAUAUCGUCAAGAACACCUAUAGCGAAGGCAGCUUACUAGGCUGUAACUGACGCUGAGGCACGAAAGUGUGGGGAUCAAACAGGAUUAGAUACCCUGGUAGUCCACACUGUAAACGUUGAUUACUCGCUGUGUGCGAUAUACAGUACGCGGCCAAGCGAAAGCGCUAAGUAAUCCACCUGGGGAGUACGCCGGCAACGGUGAAACUCAAAUGAAUUGACGG